GACGAACGCUGGCGGCGUGCUUAACACAUGCAAGUCGAACGCUGAAGCUCAGCUUUUGUUGGGUGGAUGAGUGGCGAACGGGUGAGUAACACGUGAGUAACCUGCCCCCUUCUUUGGGAUAACGCCCGGAAACGGGUGCUAAUACUGGAUAUUCACUGGUCUUCGCAUGGGGGUUGGUGGAAAGGGUUUUUCUGGUGGGGGAUGGGCUCGCGGCCUAUCAGCUUGUUGGUGGGGUGAUGGCCUACCAAGGCUUUGACGGGUAGCCGGCCUGAGAGGGUGACCGGUCACAUUGGGACUGAGAUACGGCCCAGAAUCCGACGGGAGGCAGCAGUGGGGAAUAUUGCACAAUGGGCGCAAGCCUGAUGCAGCGACGCCGCGUGAGGGAUGGAGGCCUUCGGGUUGUGAACCUCUUUCGCUAAUGGUCAAGCCGCAACAAUGGUUGUGGUGAGGGUAGUGGGUAAAGAAGCGCCGGCUAACUACGUG
rnacentral:rRNA from 1 species